AAGUAGGAACCCUUAUUUAGUAGAAUCUAGUACUUGAAAGGGAAUAUGCUUUUGUUACUUCUAAUGAGUGGUCAUCACACAGGGUCUGGACUGGAAGAUCAUUUAAUCCCAAUUGCUGGGACUUCACACUUGAACUCCCAAAGCUAAUGGGACAUAUUCCCAGUUAUUACACUGGGGUGCACAUACCCUUCAUUGGAAUAGGUACCAGUGAGAGAGAGCUGGCAGACAGACUGCUUUUAGACUGUGAGAUAAGAAAGGGCUUUUAAAUAAUAUUUCAAUACUGGGUGACUCCACUGAGUACCGUCUUAGAUAUACUUUCUAUGACUUGCCAUAAUUAUUUUUACCUUUCAUUUACUUAAUGAUUAUCUAUUUCUGUGCAGUUGCUAAUAAAAAUAUUAUUUUAUUUAAGAGAAUUUAAAUUGGGUCUCAUAACUUAUCUGGGGAAAUAGCAGACAUUCCAAAAGAGGGAAUAAAGUGCUCAGGUCUAUCAAGGGAGACUGAGAAAUGAAUAGGUAUAGGUCUUGAGUAGAGAAGAGGCUUUGGCCUCCCUCUCAAAACAGUGUCCUAGAAGGACUGUCAAGGGUCUCUGUGAGCAUGAAAGAGCUUGAACAAUCUAGACCAGGUGUUUUCAAUCUUUUCCUUAGUGUGGUCCACAUCUUAAAGACAUUCUAUGGGGCCCUUCCCUCCCAUUCAUACUUGCACACACCACCUUCCUCUCUGUCCACUGGUGAUCAAAUAGCAUCCAUCAAGGGUGACCAGAUAGCAAGUAAGAAAAAUCGGGACAGGGUGUGGGGGGUGAUAGGCGCCUAUAUAACAGCCCCUAAUAUCAGUACUGUCCCUAUAACAUCGGGACAUCUGGUCACCCUACAUCCAUCAGACAAGUACAGCAAAAAAGUUAUAUGGAGGAAAAUAUGUAAUGGGGUUAUUUUUAGUUUCCUUUACUGUGAUUUAGCAACCGAAAUUGACAUUGCCAUUUCGAAUUAGGGUUAGUGUGGCCGCAAUUCGACGGUAUUGGCCUCCGGGAGCUAUCCCACAGUGCACCAUUGUGACCUCUCUGGACAGCAAUCUGAACUCGGAUGCACUGACCAGACAUCCACCCACGACGAUGCAGGGAAGAAGAGCUGCAAGAAGAACAAGACAGAGCUUCCAUCAGUCUGUACCUGAAGUCCUGCCUUCCACCUGCCUUGCCAUCUGGAUCAGAUCCGGAGCCAGUCCUGUCAUGCCCGUGCCAGGGAUAAAGCUGCAGGAUAUGGUUCUCCAAGUUUCUAGGAAUGAAAUUUCUUGUGGGGAGUUCAGUCUUUAAGCAAUAUGUUGGCACUUGACUGCUAUCCAUUACUGGAUUUGUCUAAUUUUCGCAGCAGCAGAUGGCUCCUGCAAUGCAUGUGUUGUGCUCUAAAAGCUUGAAAAUGUAUGCCAUGUCAAACAAAGUACUGGGUUCUACAGAAAAGCAAAAGUAGAGUAAGGAAGCAAGAGCUACCAGGUUUGGAACACUGCAGUCACUACUCCCCUGGCCUGACCCACUCCUAUUCAAGCCCCCAAGACCAGCAUCUGUGGGGCCAGCACAAAGACCAUUUCUACAACACACAGAUGGUGUGUGUGUUCAUCUACAUAGUUCCAAUG